CAAGUUAAUUAUUAUAUUUAAAAGUUUAAGUUAUUAAUUAGAUUUAUUAUAUAAAUUUAAAAUAAAUAUAGCGUAAAGGUGAGUAAUUUAUAAAAAUUGCCGCACUAUCUUUUUGGAUAAAAAGGUAAAAACUAAAGCAUAGCGCUUUAUAGUUUGUAUAGUUAUUAAUUAAGUUAAUAUAACUUAAGACGUAGUGUGAUGUUUUUAUUACAUAGUAAAUUGAGCUACGUAGCUUAGUUGAUGAUGUGUAGCUGAAUUGAGAGAGUAGUCAGUCACAUAAGGUAUGAAAACAACCUUACUUUUAGCAGCAGUGGGGAAUUCUGGACAAUGUACACAAGUAUGAUCUGGCAAUUUAGUGCAGGUGAGGAAGGUUAUGAUAAUCGUAAAGCCUACGGGUAUUUUUGAAGUUUUGAUGUUUAUAUGCUAUAAGUUAUGGCUAAUACAUGUGCCAGCAGCUGCGGUAAUACAUGAGUAACGAGCGUUGUCCAUCUUAAUUGGGUGUAUAGGAUGCGUAGGUGGGUAAUUAUAUAUAAUUUACAAUAACAAGUGUUUUGGGAAUUUUAUAUAUACAUUACCUAAGAGUUUUUAUGAAGUUGUUAACAUUUAUAAGUUAGUGAUUAAAUACAAAUAGCUUGUAGGGAUUUCCGAAAGUGAAGACAAGCAACUAAUAAAAACUGACACUAAUGCAUUAAAGUAUGGCCUUCGAGAAGGAUUAGACAACCUAGUAGUCCAUACCCUAAAAUAUGAAUACAAGAUGAUUAAUAUGCAUCUAAGCUAACGCGAAAGUAUUCCACCUGGGUAGUAAAAGAAAUUAUUUUUUUAAAUAAAGGUCUGAAACUUAAUUAAAUUGGCGGGAAUCUGUACAAAUGGUGGAGUAUGUGGUUUAAUUCGAUAAUCCGCGAAAAACCUUACCGAGUGUUCGAGUUGUUGAUUACUAAUAGUUAAAACCUAGAACAGUAUCUUCAACUUAAAGUAUUGCAUGGCUGUCGUCAGUUCGUGUUGUGAAAUGUAGGAUUUGGUUCUCCAACGAACGCAACCCUUAUAAGUAAUUUUAAAUUAUAUAUGAGUUAAUUGUAUAUUCUUUUUUUACUUAGAUUAGGUUUAGCUUAGCUAUUUAGCCAAGCUAUUCUUUUAUAGGAAAAGGCUGAAGUCAAGUCCUUAUGGUCUAUGUACAUCGGGCUACACACGUACUACAAUGGUAAAAACAAAAAGUAACGAAAGCGUAAGCUAGAGUCAACCUUUAAAAAUUACCUUAGUUCAGAUUGUAUUUUGAAACUUAAAUGCAUGAAGCUGAAAUCAUUAGUAAUCGUAGAUAAUAAUGCUACGGUGAAUGAAAAGUCAGAUUUUGCACACACCGCCCAUCACGCCCGGAGAAUUUUUGAGGCCGUUAUAACAAAAAGUUUUACGUUAUGGUAUUUUAAUUAUCUUUUUAAAAUCAGAAUAGUAUAUAAG
rnacentral:rRNA from 1 species